rnacentral:sRNA from 1 species
CUUUAAAAAAAAUAAGUUGAAUUUUUAAGAAACGAAAAGAACAACAUACACGGUAUGUGGUGAAGCUGGUACCUGGCUCGCCUAGUAUCUGUGAAACCCGGAGCCUUCACUCUCCAGCACUAUGGGGUAAACCAAACCCAACCGACCAAAAACUCGAAGCAUACAGAACAUAACUACUGACCAGGACGGUGUGGAUGGUGCUGUGAGAUAGAAUCCACAGACAUAACCAAGUUCAAACACAGGAGGACAAGGUCACAGACAUCUGCAAAGAGGAGGUUUGGUUUGUUAGGCCUUGCCUGAAUGGUGAGUCGGUUGUUCAUUUAGUUGUGAUGGGGAAAAGGAGGGGAACACGUAGGAGAGAAUCCCAAUGGUGAGCAAAUGAGAAGUCUCAUUUAGAUGCCAGGGACCUGGUAACUAAUACAGUACAGGCAGGAAGAGAUCCAAGCAGAUCCGAGAACAGGAUUCCAGAUUCUUUCUCCAUCAUCACUGCAAGGAUCUGGAUUUAGCUGGUCCAAGUUGCAGAUGCCUGUCAACCAGUCUCUGAUUCUGGCUUCCCUCCCUCUGGAAUGGAGUUGACAGUGCUUGCUACGGUGUAUUCAUGGAACUUGCUGGCCCUCCCCUUACUCUCCAACCUUUCAAGGGGUUGCUUUUCACUAAUUCACAGAGUAUUUGUUGGGGUCUACACCAAAGCAUGAGUCCCUGGUCUGUCUCCACCUGUGGUAAGUACUGAGAACCAAAGCAAAGCAAGGUAACGGGGCACAACAGGAGUGUGGCUUGGGACGGGGAAGGGGUGGGGGUUGGAGACAAGAUUGAGUGGAUGUCUUUCCUUCAAACAGGACAUCUGAGAAUCGACAUGAUGCGGGGAGAGCUUUUGAAAGCCAAGGGAAGAAUGAGGACAGGAAAGGGAGUUUGUGUUUAAAGACUGGAGAGGUGGCCAGUGAAACAGGAACCCAUCAGGCAAAAGGAGGAAAAUGAAAAACAUUGAGACCCCAGGAGCCAAGAAGGACAAUGGAAAAGCCAUUUGGAACCUGAAGAAAAGCAAGAACAGCCUAUAAAGGAGAUAGCCUAAAAGGAGGAUAUGAAGACUUCCAUUUGUACUACCAUAGCAGCUUCAGCUUUUAAAAGUGCCUCUCAAGUCUCUCCAUGACUCUCUUUCCCACGGCUGGUCAGGCCCUAUCCACAUCUCUCUUUGCGUCAUCCGUAUGGGUAUGUUCAUGUAGUGCGGUGCCGAGGGGCAGGGAUGCACAAUCAGACUCUUAGAACUUAAAUCUUAGUUUCAUGACUCAAUGCAUCUUCUGGCCUGGGAAGAUUAUUUAACUUUCCUGCCUCACUUUUCUCAUCUGCAAAAGAGAACCAGUAAUUGUCCUUGCUUGCUGUGGGUGUCCUGGAGAUUAUGUAAGGUAAUGUGUGUGAAGCAAACAGUAAUUAUUGGAGUUAUUUUUAUUACCGUCACCCUCUUCAUCCUCCAUCGUGAGGACAUACGCUUCCCAAGGGAGAGGGCGAUUUUAUUCAUCUUGCGGGCCUCGUGAGCCCUUGCAUAAAGUAGGUAUCUAAUAAGUGUGUCAAGGAAUAAGAAUCCAAAUGUGUGAAUUCUCAGUGCACUGCACAUGGCCAGGGGACUUCUUGGCAAAUCAUCUAUUCUUGAAAAGCUGGGGACUCGGCACGCACUCUUUGAAGGCAUUGUCAAGUGUCAGGUAGGUGUUUUGAAUGGUCCACUACCCUAAAAAUAAACCCACAGUGUAGCUUUCAAAAGCAUAUUCUACACACCCAAAUGCCACUCUUUUUUUUUGAUCAUGGCACUCGCUAGAUUGGAUCACACUGUUCUAAGAUCUUCCCAGGGAGCCUGCGUUUAUGAGGCUGGCAGGGGACCUGGAUGCAUGAGGAGAUUCACAGCUGUGGAAGUCAGAUGAUUGAAAUUCUGAACCGGCGAGAAAUCCAUCAUUCCAGGUCCUUCUGUAUCACAUUCUGGUGAAGGGAAGGAAGGGGCGACCCCAGGAUACACACAGGCGCCACACAGGGGAAUCAUCAGGAGUCGUCUUGCCACUAAUCACUCUUGGGGCCCUUUGGGUUGGGUUGUCUUGGCCAGCCUGCAUGUGAUGGGUUUUGUUUAUCUUACUAUAUUGUAUUUUGUCAAUACAAAAAUAAGGUAGAACAGAAAAAGUCACUGUUAGUGAAUUUUGAGUUGAUUAGCGAUGUGCACUAAAAGUAUUUUGAAAAUUAUAAGGUGAUCACAAUGGGAAAUGAAACUAACAUUUUAAAAAAAGGGCUUGAUGGUUGAUUGCAUUAUG